GUAGCCAACGGACCACUAAAUCUCAAACUAUUAUCUCACAAAGGUCUUGAGGCUUGUUUUUCCUACCGCACUUUAAUUUUUUUGAAACAACUAAUAGCUAUGGUCCUCUAAGACAUCGGUGUGAGAAUUCAUGAACAAUUGUUAUUGUAGUGGAAAUCUGCUCCUCCUGUGUAUAUCUAAAGAGAUCAUUGCCAUCUGUAGAGGGUGCUUUGUAGAUAGAUAUGUGUAAGAAUUAUGCUUAACUACUACACUAAAAAGGAGAAUUCCCCUAAUUGGCAGUGAGAGAUCAGCAUAUAACUCGAAUUUUUUAGCCAAGCG
rnacentral:sRNA from 2 species